UACGAAGGGGGCUAGCGUUGUUCGGAUUUACUGGGCGUAAAGGGCGCGUAGGCGGUUCUACAAGUCAGAAGUGAAAGCCCUGGGCUUAACCCGGGAAUUGCUUUUGAAACUGUAAGACUAGAGUAGGGGAGAGGUGAGUGGAAUUCCAAGUGUAGAGGUGAAAUUCGUAGAUAUUGGGAAGAACCCCAGUGGCGAAGGCGGCUCACUGGACCCUAACUGACGCUGAGGCGAGAAAGCGUGGGGAGCAAACAGG
rnacentral:rRNA from 1 species